rnacentral:lncRNA from 1 species
UUUUCAUGGGCCAACAAGUCAUCUAGAUCCGCGAUGGAACGUGUGUGAUAUGGGAGAGCUCAACCAUCAAGCCUUUGGGAGCUUGGGAGCAUGGAC